CCUGAAGGCCUGUGGAGAUAAAGCCCAGCUGUUCACCUCCCUGUACUCUUGUACUCUUGCCCUCCUGCCACUGGGUGCUCCGGUGGAGGCUGGAGGACCACAGUUCAAGGAUGUGAAAGGUGGGAUACCCAAAGAAGCUCCAAAUACCACCUGCCGGGUGCCACAUGCAUAGGCUCUAUACUGAGCACUUCAGACUGUUUCUAAUGCUAAAUGGCCACACCCAGUAGUUCAGCUAAGUGGACCACGUGCAGAGAUGCUGUAACUGGCACUGUGAUCUGGAGCACCAUGAACAGUACAGCUGCAACUGCUGUGCAAGAACUCCACACCCCACACGACUGGCAAGAACCCUAGAAAGCUGCCCUGCCCGUGGCCUAGCAGGUAGAGCAUGUGCUCUAGAGUGUGAACUCACACCUUUCCAUU
ensembl:lncRNA